GCGGUGGCGGCGGAGGUAAUAAAACAGAAAUUCCACCAGCAUCUUCUGCUGUAUCAGAGCUUCCGCAACUAGUCCCACCUUCAGCAGUAUCUGAUCCUUCAUCUGCAGCCCAUUCUCCAUCAUUUCUUGCAGUGGCCAUUCGGCAAUCUGCUGACAUAUUGCAGGAGCUCUGUGCAGGGGGGUAAUUCUCUGCAUCCUGAUCUGGCCUGUUGUAAAAGCUACUACUGCCUGG
rnacentral:misc_RNA from 1 species